GGAUGUCAGCAUCUGGAAGAGAAGCCUCCACAACAUAGUCUUCAUGAACUGGGAAAUCAUGUGCAGAUUCUGUAAUAAUAUCAAAUCCUCUGACUGAGAAAUCAAGGACAUCAGCAGCAGGUAAUCCAUGUCCCUUCUCAGAAUUCACAAAAUCCAUUUCAGAAUGAACGGAUUGUGAAUCUGGCAGACAUGACACAGACUCUCCUACAUCUAAAUCAGGAAUGAUUGUAUCAUAUCUCUCUCUGUAUACUUGUAACUUGGGCUUGGGUUGGAAUCUUCUACUCUGCCCAGAUAUAGUAGUUACCCCAAGGAUAUCAGCUUCCAAGGAAGAGUAGGUGUCCGUUUCCAUCUGACAACUUCCACUAACAGAAAGAACGCUUGCUUGGAAUGUUAAUGGAUCUUGGCCUGCUGCAACCUCAUCAGAUUGAAGAUUGGAAGCACUAUGAGCUGAACCAUCAACUGAAGAAACUGGAACUAAAAGCUGUUCUUGUCG
rnacentral:misc_RNA from 1 species